rnacentral:rRNA from 1 species
UACGUAGGGUGCGAGCGUUGUCCGGAAUUAUUGGGCGUAAAGAGCGUGUAGGCGGCCCGACCAGUCCGCUGUGAAAGUCCAGGGCUCAACCCUGGAAUGCCGGUGGAUACUGUCGGGCUAGAGUCCGGAAUGGGCGAGUGGAAUUCCUGGUGUAGCGGUGAAAUGCGCAGAUAUCAGGAGGAACACCAAUGGCGAAGGCAGCUCGCUGGGACGUGACUGACGCUGAGACGCGAAAGCGUGGGGAGCAAACAGG